GACGAACGCUGGCGGCGUGCUUAACACAUGCAAGUCGAGCGCUGAAGCCUUUCGGGGUGGAUGAGCGGCGAACGGGUGAGUAACACGUGGGUGACCUGCCCUCAGCUCUGGGAUAAGCCUGGGAAACUGGGUCUAAUACCGGAUAUGACCUUUCCUCGCAUGGGGGUUUGGUGGAAAGUUUUUCGGCUGGGGAGUGGGCCCGCGGCCUAUCAGCUUGUUGGGUGGGGUGAUGGCCUACCAAGGCGACGACGGGUAGCCGGCCUGAGAGGGCGACCGGCCACACUGGGACUGAGACACGGCCCAGACUCCUACGGGAGGCAGCAGUGGGGAAUCUUGCGCAAUGGGCGAAAGCCUGACGCAGCGACGCCGCGUGAGGGAUGACGGCCU
rnacentral:rRNA from 1 species